CUGAUGCAGCGACGCCGCGUGAGGGAUGACGGCCUUCGGGUUGUAAACCUCUUUCAGCAGGGAAGAAGCGAAAGUGACGGUACCUGCAGAAGAAGCGCCGGCUAACUACGUGCCAGCAGCCGCGGUAAUACGUAGGGCGCAAGCGUUGUCCGGAAUUAUUGGGCGUAAAGAGCUCGUAGGCGGUCUGUCACGUCGGAUGUGAAAGCCCGGGGCUUAACCCCGGGUCUGCAUUCGAUACGGGCAGACUAGAGUGUGGUAGGGGAGAUCGGAAUUCCUGGUGUAGCGGUGAAAUGCGCAGAUAUCAGGAGGAACACCGGUGGCGAAGGCGGAUCUCUGGGCCAUUACUGACGCUGAGGAGCGAAAGCGUGGGGAGCGAACAGGAUUAGAUACCCUGGUAGUCCACGCCGUAAACGGUGGGAACUAGGUGUUGGCGACAUUCCACGUCGUCGGUGCCGCAGCUAACGCAUUAAGUUCCCCGCCUGGGGAGUACGGCCGCAAGGCUAAAACUC
rnacentral:rRNA from 1 species